rnacentral:rRNA from 1 species
CUCCUACGGGGGGCAGCAGUGAGGAAUAUUGGUCAAUGGGCGCGAGCCUGAACCAGCCAAGUCGCGUGAGGGAAGACGGUCCUAUGGAUUGUAAACCUCUUUUGUCGGGGAGCAAAAGACGCCACGCGUGGCGUUCCGAGAGUACCCGAAGACAAAGCAUCGGCUAACUCCGUGCCAGCAGCCGCGGUAAUACGGAGGAUGCGAGCGUUAUCCGGAUUUAUUGGGUUUAAAGGGUGCGCAGACGGAAGAUCAAGUCAGCGGUAAAUUGAAUGG